UUACGUAGUAGACAGUUAGGAAGAAGCGAUAAAAAAGCAUUCCACAGUACAGGCUGCUCUGGAUUCACUUCUGGCAGGUGUUGCGGAGAAUGCUCUGGGCGGUGAAGUUUACGUUUCUGAUGACGAUUCUGGUUUUACGACUUCAUCCCUCCCCAAACCCCAAGCUCAAAAGGACGUCACAAAGAUGGACCCACGUAAUCCGAAGGGACUAACAGCUCUAUGGGUCGGAAAUGUUUUACCAGAUAAAGUAGAUGAUAAAAACUUUUGAAAAUCUUUUCUAGCUAACCUCGACGAAGUGGAGAUGAGCUUAUGCUAAACCCCGAUGUUGACGUCGGCGUUAGCGUCUGCGUCCCAAGUAACUAUAAGCCCUACCUGAACCAAAAUUGCAUGGAUGAUGCAUUUAGGGAUGGACACUACCAGACUUGGUUCGGAUGCUGGAUCUGACCUACAUUUUUCAGAUGAGUGACCAGGUUAGAGUUUUUGGAGCAGGUCCAUUCCCAAGGUACUAUAAGCCCUAC